rnacentral:tRNA from 1 species
GGGGGAGUAACUCAAUUGGCAGAGUGGCGGUCUCCAAAACCGCAAGCUGCAGGUUCGAGUCCUGUCUCCCCUGCCA